rnacentral:rRNA from 1 species
GACGUAGGAGGCGAGCGUUAUCCGGAUUCACUGGGCGUAAAGCGUGCGCAGGCGGUUGGCCGGGUCCGAUGUGAAAGCCCCGGGCUUAACCUGGGAAUGGCAUUGGAAACUGGCUGGCUGGAGUGUGGCAGAGGGGGGUGGAAUUCCACGUGUAGCGGUGAAAUGCGUAGAGAUGUGGAGGAACACCAGUGGCGAAGGCGACUCUUUGGCCUGUAACUGACGCUGAGGCGCGAAAGCGUGGGGAGCAAACAGG